CUGCCAGAAAACUAUAGAUCGGAGCUACUUCGCGCCCGUUUUUCCGGCCAACUCCGAGUUCCGUUUCCGUCGAUUCCUUCGCCAGUGCGUAGCCCUUCGUGUUGUCUAUCGUACACCGUCGAUUCCGCGAAACCCGUCAUAACACUGUGCAACCACCCCGAUGACCCCCCUUACGGUCCACGAUAUACCCAAGGCAAGAUCCUACUUGCUCAGAUCUGAAUUUUGUAUUUAUUAAGAAUUAUCUGUAAUUUUAUAUCUGUUAAUAAUUAUCUAUAUGAGAUUGUUUGA